rnacentral:rRNA from 1 species
UACGUAGGGCGCAAGCGUUGUCCGGAAUUAUUGGGCGUAAAGAGCUCGUAGGCGGUUUGUCGCGUCUGCCGUGAAAACUCGAGGCUCAACUUCGAGCUGUCGGUGGAAACUUUCUGGCUAGAGUCCGGAAGAGGAGAAUGGAAUUCCUGGUGUAGCGGUGAAAUGCGCAGAUAUCAGGAAGAACACCCGUGGCGGAAGGCGGUUCUCUGGGACGGUACUGACGCUGAGACGCGAAAGCGUGGGGAGCGAACAGG